rnacentral:rRNA from 1 species
AAUGAACGCUGGCGGCAUGCCUAACACAUGCAAGUCGAACGAACCCUUCGGGUCUUGUGGCGCCCGGGUGCGUAACGCGACGGAACCUGCACUUAGGUUCGGAAUAACUCCCCGACUGGGGUGCUUAUACCGGAUAAUGUCUUAGGACCAAAGAUUUAUCGCCUCUGGUUGGGCCAGCGUUGGAUUAGCUAGUUGGUAGGGUAAUAGCCUACUAAGGCGACGAUCAAUAGCUGGGCAGAGUGGAUGAUUAGCCACACUGGGACGGAGACACGGCCCAGACUCCUACGGGAGGCAGCAGUAGGGAAUAGUAGACAAUGGGCGAAAGCCAGAACCAGCAACGCCGCGUGAGUGACGAAGGCCUUAGGGUUGUAAAUCUCUUUUACCCGGGAUGAUAAUGACAGGAACGGGAGAAUAAGCUCCCGCUAACUCCGUG